rnacentral:rRNA from 1 species
UACGUAGGGUGCAAGCGUUAAUCGGAAUUACUGGGCGUAAAGCGUGCGCAGGCGGUUGUGCAAGACAGAUGUGAAAUCCCCGGGCUUAACCUGGGAACUGCAUUUGUGACUGCACAGCUAGAGUGUGGCAGAGGGGGGUGGAAUUCCACGUGUAGCAGUGAAAUGCGUAGAGAUGUGGAGGAACACCGAUGGCGAAGGCAGCCCCCUGGGCUAACACUGACGCUCAUGCACGAAAGCG